AGGAGCGAGGCUGACACGCUCCAACUGUCCAGAGCUAAUAGCUAAGUAUUUUACUUUAUCUGUUACUCUGUAUCAGGGCUAAUACAUAAACUCUAGAAGUAGUGAAUUUCUCUGUAUAAUUUUACCUGUAUGUUGAUAAUAAAACCUGAUUACUGUGAUUUGAAAUUGUUAGUUGUGUCUGGUCAUGUUUACUCUCAUGUCUCAGUAGAUACUUAAGAAAAUAUUAGGCUUUAGCUCACCCCUCCCAUUAGGUAAGCAAUCACUAAAUUUUAGUUUUGUUGAUAUUGCCUUGUAAUGCAUGUUUUACUUAUCAAUACUAACUAUUCUGCAGUAAUACAGGUCAGUGGGGUCGCGAAGUAAGUUUUAUUGGUAGAAGGGGGUUGCAGUGCCACGAAGUUUGAGAACCGCUGAUCUGGAUGAUGUGAUUGUUUAUUCAGCUGAUUUUAUAACCCACUUAAAACAUUUUGACUUUGUUUUAUUUUUCAGGAAACUGCAGCAGCAUAGGUUGUUGAAGCUUGAGAAAUGCUAUUUACUUUGAAAAGAAGUCCAGUAUUUGGGACAUCGAGUGUCCGAAGCAGGAGUCUCGCCAGACUCAGAUUGUUAAGUUUAUUCAGGAGUGGCCAGCUUCCACAACGGUGAAGUAGUUGCAGCCCUUUUUGGGCUUAGCCAGCUAUUGUCACCGCUUUGUUAAAAACUUUGCCAAGAUAGCGAACCCUCUUCACCAGUUGUUAACUGGGAUUUCAUCAACUUACCAUACUCACCCUGCCAUAAAGCUGAGAGAGUGGAAUGAGGAAUGUGCCUCGGCUUUUAGUAAACUGAAAGAGAUUUUGACAAGCGCUCCCAUAUUGGCAUACACUGAUUUUAACUUGCCCUUUGUUUUGUACACAGAUGCCAGCAACCAGGGUUUGGGAGUAGUCUUGGUGCAGGUGCAAGAACGUGUCAUUGCUUAUGCUAGCCAUGGCCGCCAUCCUUCCGAGAGGAAUGACAGUAACUACAGUUCCUUUAAAUUAGAACUUCUUGAUCUUAAAUGGGUGGUUACAGAGAAAUCCCAUGAAUAUCUGACUGGAUCACUUUUUCCUGUACACACUGACAAUUGUUCAUUUGCAGACUGCAAACUUGGGCAGCCUAGAGAGGCAGUGAGCUGCCCGAUUGCCUAAUUACAACUUUUAAAUAAAAUAUCAUCCAGGAUGUAUUAAUCAAAGUGCUGAUGCACUGUCUCGCCUCCCCUUGGAUCCACUAUAGGGCCCAGUUGAAGACCGGGACCGGAUAGAAGUGUCUGCUUUUCAAAGGAUCCAUCUGAAGAUAGUUGAAGCUGUGUGUAUAGGGAUGGUCGGCUGUGAUCUCAUGCCAGAAGAACGUGGACAGCACCCAUCUGAGAUUAGGGUGGAGAUAAACUAUGUGGGCUGCCUUGGGAGAACUAUGCCUAAAUGGAAAUUUUACAAGAACAGGAUCCUACUCUAAAGAAAGCUUUGUACUUUUUACAGAAUACUACUUCCCCUAACGCUAAAGAACAAGCAGAGUUACCCAAAUAAGUUAUGGACAUCCUGCGACAGAAAGAAUGGCUUGUUUUCAAGGAAAGAGUGCUGCUAAGUACUUACCAAGAACUUAAAGAACAGAGGUUAGCGCACAAGUUGAUUGUUCCCACAAGGGAUCGUCGCUUUAUUUGGGAGUUGUAUCAUACACAAGCCGGACACAGGGGUGUCGAUAGGACUCUUUCAUUAAUGCAAACCAGAUUCUAUUGGCCUGGCAUGAAAGUCAAACAUCUGCUUGGUGUGCUGAAUGCGCAAUUUGUGCAUUAAGGAAACUUCCACCUAACGAGGGGCGUGCUCCGUUGCACUGUUGGAACUGGUUGCUAUGGGCUUUCUUGCAGUGGGCCAGCCAGAAGAUUCUUACCCCUGUGUAUUAGUUAGUGUUGAUCACUUCACGAAAUCUGCAUGGGCCACUGCAACUUGUGACCAAACGGCAACUACUACUGCAUGGGUACUAUGGCAACAGGUGAUUCAACCCUUUGGUUGCCCUUGUUGCAUCCACUCCAAUCAAGGACCAAACUUUGAGUCAAAUUUAGAUAAAGAACUAUGUCAGUUGUACUGAACAACCAAAAGCCACACAACCACAUAUCAUCCAGCUGGUAAUGGAGUUGCAGAAAGGUUCAGUCGUACUUUGUUGAACCUCCUUUCUACCUUGGGACCUGAAAAAUGCCUGCGAUGGCCCGAACAUCUUCAUACCCUCUUUUUAUACAACAAUACUGUUCACACUACUACUGGCUUGUCAAAGGAGUCAAAGGAGUUUUGGUUUGUAAUUCAGCCUCCCGACAGCAGAAGGUAUGGAAUCAACCCAAGGCUUCCCUCACCAAGAUCACACUACUUAUAACACGAUCCAGAGCUGUAGCAGAAGCCAGCAUAAACCCGGACAUCACUUUCACCCCUGCAUUUCAUGGAGAACUGUAAUACACCACUUGCACUUAUUCACGAUCACUAGGAACUAUGUUUGUGUUUUGUGUUUAGUGUUGUGUGUAAAACUGGACUUUUGGUUGCGGGUCAAACCCGAGGAUUUACCAAUAUUGAGUGAUACACACCGCUGUAUCAUAAGGCUCUGGACAUUGUUAAUUAAAUCAAUAAACACCCUUUCACCUGUAAA